GGAUUGUGGCUCAGUGGUAAAGCACUUGCCUAGCAAGUGUGAGCUCUGGGUUCGAUCCUCAGCACCA
rnacentral:tRNA from 1 species